AUCGAACGCUGGCGGCAGGCCUAACACAUGCAAGUCGAGCGGAGCGGCGGACGGGUGAGUAAUGCCUAGGAAUCUGCCUGGUAGUGGGGGAUAACGUCCGGAAACGGGCGCUAAUACCGCAUACUAUCAGAUGAGCCUAGGUCGGAUUAGCUAGUUGGGGGGGUAAAGGCCUGCCAAGGCGACGAUCCGUAACUGCUCUGAGAGGAUGAUCAGUCACACUGGAUCUGAGACAGGGUCCAGAAUCCUACGGUAGGCAGCAGUGGGGAAUAUUGGACAAUGGGCGAGAGCGUGAUACAGCCAUGCCGCGUGUGUGAAGAAGGUCUUCGGAUUGUAAAGCACUUUAAGUUGGGAGGCGUUACCAAAAGAAUAAGCACCGGCUAACUUCGUGCCAGCAGCCGCGGUAAUUC
rnacentral:rRNA from 1 species